rnacentral:rRNA from 1 species
GACGAACGCUGGCGGCGUGCUUAACACAUGCAAGUCGAACGGAAAGGCCCCUUUGGGGGUACUCGAGUGGCGAACGGGUGAGUAACACGCGAGUAAGCUGCCCUUGACUUCGGGAUAACUGCAGGAAACUGGGGCUAAUACCGGAGAGGAAUCCUUGCUGCAUGGUGGGGGGGGGAAAGCUUCGGCGGUUUUGGUUGGACUCGCGGCUUAUCAGCUUGCUGGUGGGGUAGUGGCUUACCAAGGCAUUGUCGGGUAGCCGGGCUGGGUGGGCGACCGGCCACAUUGGGACUGGGAUACGGCCCAGGCUCCUACGGGAGGGAGCAGUGGGGGAUAUUGCACAAUGGGCGGGAGCCUGAUGCAGCCACGCCGCGUGCGGGAUGACGGCCUUCGGGUUGUAAACCGCUUUCAGCAGGGGCGAAGCUUGUGGUGACGGUACCUGCAGAAGAAGCACCGGCUAACUACGUG